rnacentral:lncRNA from 1 species
GAAACAAAGAUGGUUAAUCAUAAUUUUCAUAUUCCAUUUAUAAUCAAAUUAGACUGAUCCUUCCUUAUUUUCCUUUUAUUCAUUUUAUUUGUUCUGAUACAUAUUUUUUAAGAGUUCAAAUUAACCUUUUUUCUAUAUAAACGGUCACCAAAAUUUAGGUUUCAACGAUACCGCAGACCAGAAAGAGCGCGAUCGCUUCAGAAGAUGUCGAUCACCCUCAACAGCGGAUUCAAAAUGCCGGCGAUCGGUCUCGGCGUGUUAGAUAUGGAGAAGGACGAGAUACGGGACCUCAUGCUGGGCUCCAUCAAGAUCGGCUACCGCCACUUCGAUUGCGCCGGUACCCCCGAAGCCAACUCUUCUUUUAGCUAUCUCCGGAUCCUCGUCUUUUCCAGGGUUUGGUCGAUUUAGUGCGGCCGUGUCUUUUUGGUUUUUAGUUCAUUGUCCGGUGCUGGUCGGUGUUCUGGACCAUCGUCGGCGGUUCGAGAGGAACGGUUUCGGCGCAUUUCGUGUUGUUUUUUUUUUUUUGGUCAACGUUCGGGCGAGUCCGCUGAGAAGAUACUGGGCAGCGAGGGGAUCAGCAGAGUUGUCUGUCGAUUGAAUUUGAGAAUGAUUCGGAACAAGAAAUUACACGGGCUUGUCGUGGUCCUAAAUGCUUGCGUCGGAUGAGUCGCGAGGAUGAUGAAUCUCUGCCCGUGCUUAUGUAGUCUUGCAUGCCGUGGCAUUCGCUGCGUAUGCGAGGAGUUUUUUUUAAUUUAUUUUUAUCGACUGUGUUGAAUUUCGAAACCAUUAUCGUUCAUUCGCGUGAUUUGUUCAUAGUAAGCCGCCCGUAUUGUAAUAACGCUUGGUACAUUUUUUUCAUGUUAUGCAUUGCGAGCUACGUCCUCUGAGAUCGUUGUUUUAUAGUAUUUAACCAGUUCGUGUCGGUGCAGCCGAUUACCAGAAUGAAGCGGAACUUGGCAAGGCGCUUGCUGAAGCAGUGCGGACGGGGCUUGUCAAGAGGGAGGAACUUUUCAUCACCACCAAGGCGAGUUUAGUGAUCAUCCUGCGACUUUGAAUCUAUGCCGCACUAAGUAUGAACUGUCUAAUUUUGCCCGAUGUUCCUUCCCCGUGCAGCUUUGGAAUUCUGAUCACGGACAUGUCAUAGAGGCCUGUAAGGACAGCCUGAAGAAGUUGCAGCUUGAUUAUUUGGAUCUCUACCUUAUUCACUUCCCUGUAGCAACUAAACACACCGGUGAUUCCCCUACCAUUAGCAUCCGAUUCUACUUGCAAACUGUGAUCGAAUUCCAAACUUUAUGAGCUACUCAAUGAGCUGCUGAGCAUUACAUCUUGGUUAAAAGGUGUUUUUCCGCUGAAAGUCAACAGGUGGUAAAUUGGUAAUGAGAAUAAAAUCGAGUAUCCCCACAAGUUGAUAUUAACUAAGUGUGUACACUGGGCUGAGUCUUUUGAUAUAGGUGUGAUACUUUCUUUAUGCUCAUGAUGCACUGCUCUUGUUAAGAAUGGUGGAAAAGUCAACUGCUGGAAAUUUAGAUGUGAAUUUGAUCGCCAAAGAUCAUUUUCCAUAUUCUCCACUCGCCAUUUGUUCACAAAGCAUUAGCGCUUUAUCUGUACUCUGCUCAUGUUAGUACCUUUACCCUUUAUUAGAGUCUAAGACUCUAUCAGAGACAUUUUGUUUUGAAUGCUAAAGAUCUUGUUGUAACGUGUAUACAUGCAGGAGUUGGCACAACUGCUAGUGCUCUGGACGACGAGGGGGUGCUGGAAAUUGACACAACUAUAACUUUGGAAACUACAUGGCGUGCCAUGGAAGAACUCGUCUCAAUGGGUUUAGUUCGAAGCAUCGGGAUCAGGUUUGAGAACUUUUUGGAUGGUUUAACAUUUUCUAAGGCACCUCUCAUGAAAUAUUUAGCAUUUUUACUUGGAAGGGGAAGCUCCAAUGUGACAGUAAAGGAGAUUGUAAUUCAAGGACUUCCUAUAGUCAUUGGGAAAUUUUCUUUACUUCUCUAAGGUAUUUGAGAGGUGACUUCUGGCACUACUUUCAAGGGCAUUUUCGGUGAUGCGUACCCUUUGGAUUUUGUCAUUUUUGCACCAGAUGUUGGGAGCAUAACGUUUCCAUAGCAAUUGAUAUAUCUUUUAUGGAAGGAGUAUCUUUGGUGAAAGGAUUGCACUUUUUUUUCUAUUUUUUUCUCUGGGAAGAUGUGACAAUAAUAAGACUCUUCAAAUGAUGCUGUAUGUGAUGCCCACGGGAGCAGGGAGCAGUCUUAUUGCCUCAGAAAUCUAGGUUUUCCAUUAUGUUCAUCCUCCUUGGAAAUUGAGAUUCUUAAUUCUUAAGUAGUAGUAGUAGUAUCUAUGAGAAGUAAUAAGUACCGACAGAGGCUGGGAAUGUGUUACAAUCCUUUUCUCGAAAUAGAUAUUUUGAAUGCCUUGCCCAUUUUACAGACCUUUCUGAUUGCUCUGACUGUUGUAUGGAAUUUGUGUGCAGCAACUACGACAUCUUCCUAACCAGAGAUUGCCUGGCCUACUCCAAAGUGAAGCCCGCUGUUAAUCAGAUUGAAACCCAUCCAUAUUUCCAACGUGAUUCCCUUGUUAAGUUCUGUCAGAAACAUGGUAUCUGUGUGACUGCACACACUCCCCUUGGGGGCGCAGUUGCAAAUACAGAAUGGUUUGGUUCCAUUUCAUGCUUGGCAGAUCCAGUUCUCAAGGUAAUGCUCCUCUAUAUCAUUCACGGUGAUCUUUUCUUUCUUCUUUUUUGUUUCUGCUGCCUUGCUAUAUUUCUCAAUUCCCCUCUCUUCUCUAUCGAUUCAAGGGUCUGGCUGAGAAGUACAAGAAGACGGUGGCACAGGUAGUUCUGAGGUGGGGUAUCCAGCGCAAUACCGUUGUCAUCCCAAAGAGCACAAAGGUUAAGAGGUUGGAAGAGAACUUUCAGGUCUUUGAUUUCAAGCUGGCAGACGAGGACAUGGCUCUGAUCAAGAGUAUCGACCGGGGACAACGGAAUAAUCAACCUACGAAGUUUUGGGGCAUAAACCCAUUUGCUUGAGUACGUCCAGAAGCAUGAUUUGCUUGGGACGGAUGCUGCUGCUUCAUAGGGAGAAUAAUAAGACGGGAGGUGCAAUGCAUACAUGUAGCUGGUUGAAACACUUGUGCACCGGGUCUCUUAUUGAUUUGCACCUGUCAAUGUUGAAACAUGUUGCAUCACUUACCUGGAAAAACUGUUUGGUUUGAUGUUUCGACGCAAAGUAUUGCGACUACACCUCCAUGGCUAUUUUUGUGGACUUCUUUUGCUACAUUUCCGGGACAAACGAAGUAUGGGCACUCUGCUUCCGUUUUAACUAUAAUCUGCAUUGACCAUAAAGACAUGCAGAGAAAUUCGAGGUGAGAUUACUCGGAUUGGUGUUGCUAGUUGCAUUGUGCAGUUAGAGAAACUGCUUGACUGCAUUAUGCGUGGAGAAAUGUAUAAGUGGCAGGACAACCGAAAAUAUGAUGCGAUGGUCUAGUUAGGGAGUGGUUAUUAAAAUAAAAUCCAUGUAAAAUCCGAAAGCUUAGAGCACGUUUGAUAACGAUUCUAUUCCCGGGAAUAGAUUUUGAUCGGAAAUUAUUCUUUUUUAUUCUAGAAUAGAAUUGCGUUUGUUAUGUAUUCAUUGAUUCUGUUUCAAUUCAAUUUCUUUUAAUUUUUAAAUAAUUUUUUUUUACUUUUUAAAAUUUUUUUUCCCCUUUUCUCCUAUUCUUCUUCUUUUUCAACUUUUUCAAGUGUCCAGUCACUAUUGCGAGGUUGGCCUUCGUCGGUCGAGCCUUGCUAGUGGCCAGGCUGGCCUCGUUGGGGCUAGGCGAGGCUUGCCUAGCCACCGACGAGGCUGAGCCUCGCUAGAUCGCGAGGCUCGCCUAGCCCUGUCGAGGCUCAACCUCGCUGGUGGCCAGACAGGGCUGGGCGAGCCUCGUCGGUGGCUGGGCUUGCCUCUGGUGAGCUCGCUGAACUUCGCCCUGGCCUGACGAGCCUCUAACGAGCUCGUCGGACUGGUUGCCGAUGGAUGGCAAUCGCGAGAUGGCGGUAGAUGAAGAAGAAGAAAAUAGAAGAAAAAGAAGAGAAAACGGAAGAAGACUUGAUUAUUAGAUUUGUUCUUGAAACAAAAAUCAAUUUUUUUUUAAUUCUUAAUUCUAUUUCAAAUCUGUUCUCGGAAACAAAAAAUCAAACGCAAUUUUGUUCCCAAGCUGCUUCUGGGAACAAAAAAAUCAAAAUCAAUUACUAUUCGGAUGGUUACGAAAGAGGCCUUAGUCUCAUUAAGUAGCAACUAGCAGCUCUUGGUUUACAGUCUCAAGAAGUGUAAACACCUAGCUGACCAGAGCAGAUGUAAAUCUUGGUAACCACGCAAUAUACAUGAAGAGCGGUGUUUGUCUGGUGACUAGCCCCGAGUGAGGCGAUAGGCAAAGGGCGGCGGUGGAAGUGGCAGUUGAUUGGAGCUGUAGCGUUGAAUGUAAAAGGAACGAUAUCUUUCUUUCAGAAAAUGGCAUUAGUUUUUGGAUUCUGGCUGGACAGUUGAAAAGGAAUUCAUGCUAAUAGGGUUUCCUUUUUCGAGUCUGUAUCAGCUUUAAAUCUUUGCACGACUCUUUUCAAAGCUUUAAAAAGCCUACGAUGGCAAAGGUGAACCUCAUCCUGUUAUUUUAAAUGCCCUAUCAUAUAUAAAUUUGAGAAAAUUUCAAAUAAGGAUAUGAAUUAAACCAAUUUCUCAAAAGAGAGCUUAGAAUAGAUUUUGUUUUAAAUAAGAGCGCGAAAUGUUUAAAUUAAUUCCAUAUAAAAGCUUGAACUCGAUAGUCGACAAUAAGUAAUUUUUCCAGCAACCAAAGUAGGGGCACUUUUGUCUAAGACAUUGCCAUCCUUAAAAAUCAAAAACCCAAGAUUACUUGUUUUUGUCAUCACUUCUUCUUUGUUGUCGCCACAGCCGGUGUUCUUCCUCUAUAAGCUCACAAGCCUUGGCAACUCUAUUAAGCAUGUAAUUUUAUUUUGUUCUCUCUUUUUUCUUUUUCCCUUUUUCCCAUUAUUGGCCAUCGCUAGGUCUUGUUGAUGGCUACUCUGCCAACCUCAGGCGAGGCCACCCAUGCCGGCCUUGGUGGCCUCGGGCAAGGAUGGCCCUUACUUGAGGCCGAUGGAUCAAUGCGGCUUGGUGAUGGCUAGCGGAGGGAAAAAGAAAAAAAGGAGAAAUGAAGAAAAUAAAAAAAAAAAUCAGAAAUCUUAAAAAUAUUUAUAAAAACUAUCCAUGUGGAUGACAGAUGCUGAUUACAGAUUUAAGCAAAAAUUGACUGAAAUGACUAAAUUAACAGAUUAUCAAAAAGUUCAGAACUAAAUUAACAAGUUGUCGAAAUGUUUAAUGAUUAAAUUAAUACAAUUGAAAGGUUUGAGAUCAAAUUGGUCGCCGUACAAUAAAUUUGAAAUUGAAUUCUCCUGUCUAUUUAUAUAUUCUUAUGCAGUGGAUUUGGCAUGACUGUCCAAUCAAGGGCCCCUAUUUUCCCUUGACAAAAGGAAUUUGUCCACCAUUAAAAGCCGAUGGACUUCCCCCUUUGUCGAGUGCUCGAACUAGGACUCCUCUAUUAUUUUAUCUCUCGGUGAAAAGGAUUCCAACAAUAGAUUAGACAGAUGAUUCCCAAGAAAAAGUAAUCUCGCUCGUGCUGAAUGCUAGAUGAACUCCUAUAAAAAAAAAAAAAAAAGGGAGAGAAUAACGCCCCUUAUAACUAGCGAGAGAGUCCAAGCAAGUUUUAGCCCCCAAGGAGGAAGUGUCCUAAGACUCCCUCUAAGCCUGGCAUAUGGCGAGGAGUGGUUACCUCGCCGGAGUCCCUGUAGUGGAGGCUGUCAAGGACAUUCCGUCUGACCUCCUCAGACCGAGCAAUGACGAUCGCUCAUCCCGCGAUCUCUCCCGCGGCGAUCCCUUUUCCCCCGGUAGACGGGAAGUCAUGGUUUUCCUGGACAAAGAUGGUCUCUCUGUCGGUAGGAUCCCAGAUGGUUUGAGUUUCACUGCCGGCGUCACUUUUCCAGCCGGUAAUUGGGAUCGCCGAUCCCUAUCAUCAACAGAAUUACCGGGUUGGUUUCUCCUAUAGCAUCUGAUUGCUACGAGCGGAACUAUUGGUGAAGUUAUAUUUCGAUAAUAAGUGGAACAUUGUGUACCCACGCAUGAUGAGGCUCCCUCCUCCCUUUCCUUAAAUGUUUAAUCUACUGGAGCAGGUGGUGGCGUGUAGGGGUGUCAAAAACUAAACCGAACCAAAUAAAAAAAUUUGAUUUUUUCGGUUCGGUUUUCAUUAAAAAUAAAAAAAAAUUUCACUAGUUUAGUUUUUAUUGGUUCGGUUUACCGAACCAAAUUAGUAAAAUUUAAAAUUUUUCCUUAUUUUAUUUUAUUAUUUUAAAAAUCAUUUUUUUCUUUUUUUUUCUCUUUUUUGUAUUUAUUGGGUGGUGGCCGGCGACUGGCCAAAGACGAGCUCGAGCCUUGCCACAGGCUAGCAAGUUCAAGCCCUACCAAAUUCAGCCACUUGGGUAGGGCUCGAGCCUCACCACCUCACCAUAGGCCGGCGAGGCUUGAUCUUGUCUCUGGCUGGUCACCCGCCGCCAUCGUAGCCAGCGAUCGAUCAAUGAAGAAAAAAGAAAAAAGAAAAAAAAAGGAAUAAAAAAUAAUUAAAAAAUCAAUUUUCUUAAAAAAAUAAAAAAAAUUUAUAGAAAUGGGUGUAUGUAGGGGGAAAACAAAGAAAAAAGUGAAAACUGAAAAAUUGAACUGAACCGAACUGGGAUUUGGGUUCGGUUUAUAUUGAAUUUUGGUUUGGUUUAAUAAAUUUCAUUAUCAGCUCGGUUCGGUUCAUUUUUCCAAAAAAAAAUGAACUGAAUGGAACCGAAUCAUUUACACUCCUACUGCGGCGGAAUAGUAGCGGAACCCUUCGAUGGUGAGCCGGUGUUGCAAGACGAAGGGAAUUCAGCAAGUGAAAGCACAAACUUAUUAGGAGAGGUACUUGACGUAAUAAGUUAUAGAUAAAGGAGCUUUCAGAAUCCACGCGGCAAAAGAGAGACGAAAGUCGGGGUGUGCAUAUAAAAGUCUCGAAAUAAAGAGUCUUCUGCAUCGUGAUAUCAGUCCCUAUUUUGCUGCAUUCAAUUGGAACUUCUUCAUCUCGCUUAAACCAGAGCCGAUCGCAGAUGAAUAUGCCAUCGACGGAUUUUGUCAUCGCCGAGCAUCACUUCAAAAAAUGAUAUUCUCGUAAUCCACCUCUAAUUUCUAUGAUCUUCGUCCUCCGAUAGAGGAAAAUGGCCACGGCUAAAGCUCGAUCGAACUCGCACUCGUGACUUCAAGUUCCUAAUCAUCUGAAUGCUAUGAUAGGAUUAAGAGCUGAGUUCCCUCCUUUGGCUUUCAUACUCGACUCAAUUGGCAAUACUAACUCUCGUCAUCAUGUUUGUGUUACCCGUGCUCGCUUCAAUUAGCUCGAACUCCACCAAUGAAAUCAUUUGCACCACCCCUUAUAUAUAUAUAUAUAUAUAUAUACUAACUCCAUCCCCUUUUUAUUAAAAAGACAAAAUUGUAUUUAAUUAUUCCAUUACAAUUUAAAGUGGUAGCCCUCAAUUUAUUUACUUUCCCUCCGGUUGCCAUAAGUACGAAUAUCACACGUUUUAUUAUUGUUUAUUAUGAAUAUCUUAUGUAUAUUAAAUGCAUUAUGUUUUCUCUUUAUCUUCAGAUUUAGUUCCAUAAAAUUAGUUUUAUCGAAAAAAAGUAAUAAUAAGAGAAAUAAUUAUAUAAUAGUUAUCUAUGAGAAGAAUAGUCUAUUAUAAACAACAAAAAAUCAUAUCACAAAUAAUUAUAAAUUGUUAUGGAACCCACUUCUUUAAAAAUUUAUGAUUUACAAUAAACUCUCGAGUACUAUUAUAAUAACAAGAAGGAAGAAAAAGAUAUUUAGAUAUGGCCCUUUUUUUUCCCUUUAUAUAACUAAAUCUACCCAAUUUUCAUUAAAAGACCAAAUUACCCUUAAUUGUUCCAUUGCAAUUUAAAAUGGUAGCAUUAAAUUUUUUUAUCUUCCUUCUUUUGUUAGUUUUCUAUUCCUACAAAAGAUCUAGUUGCCAUAACUACCCGUAUGACGCGUUUUAUUCUUAUUUAUUAUGGAUAUCCCAUGUAUCUUAAAGAAAAUACAUUUUCUCUUUAUUUUUAGAUUCUUUCUUGAAAAUUAGUUUUGCCGAAACCAAGUAAUAAUAAUAAAAAGAAAGAAAAAAAAUAUUUUUCUGCAGUACUUUUUCCACUCCUUAUAAAGCUAAAUCCAUCGCAUUUCAUUAUAAAGACAAAUGACGUGUUUGGUAACGUUUCUGUUCCAAAAUUAUUCCAAGGAACAGAAAUAAAAAAAAAUGUUUAUGUUCCGAGGAAUAAUUUUUGAAUAAAAAAAUGCAUUUAGUAAACUUGUUCCGGGAAUAAAAAAUGAACAGGAACACGUUUGGUAAAUUUUAUUCUUUUUUUGUUUCUUUUAAUUUUUUAAUAUUUUUAUUUUAUUUUUCAUUUUUUCCUUUCUUUUUUAUUUUUUCUUCUUUCGGCUGGCAGCCUCGCCCAGCCACAGCGAGGCUCACCAGCCCCCGGUGAGGCCGAGCCUCACCGUUGUUGGGCGAGACUUGGCCUCGCCGGGGGCCGGCGACGCUCUGGCGAGGUCGCCGACCCUCGAUGGCGUCGCCAGCCCUCGACGGCCGAUCGCUGGCCAUGGCCGAGGCAAGCGACCGGCCAAAAAAAAAAGAAGAAAAAAAGAAGAAGAAAAGAUAAGAGAGAGAAGAAGAAGCGUUUCUUCAAAAUCAUUUAUGGAACAAGAAACAACUUUUUUUUGUUUCUCAUUUCUAUUCUUUUUGUGUUUCGGGAACAAAAAAACAAAAAAAGAACAGAAACGUAACCAAACGCGUUUAUGUUCUUUAUUUGUUCUCAAAAAAAAAAAAAAAAAAAAGGUCUGUUCUAGGAACAAAUUUCAGAAGUGAAAACAUGCAGGCCAAAGUUUCCCUCAAUUAUUCCAUUGCAAUUUAAACUGGUGGACCCCAUUUUUUUUUGUCUGAAUAUCCCAUUUAUAUUAAAAGCAUUAUGUAUUUUCCUUUAUUUUGAGAUUUUCUUCCACAAAAAAAAAUUAGUUUUCUGACGAUAAUGAGAAGGAAGCGAAACCCAAGGAGCCAAUUUACAGGUCACUUUCGGCGACUCCCGAGGAGCUAGCAGUAGCAGAGCAUCUUCUUCACUCCUUCACUCCUCCAAGCUGAUUCCGCAGACCAGAAGGAGCACGAUCGCUUCCGAAGAUGUCGAUCACCCUCAACAGCGGAUUCAAAAUGCCGGCGAUCGGUCUCGGCGUGUGGCGUAUGGAGAAGGAUGAGAUACGGGACCUCAUCCUGGGCUCCAUCAAGAUCGGCUACCGCCACUUCGAUUGCGCCGGUACCCCCGCAGCCGACUCUUCUUUUAGCCAUCUCCGGAUCCUCGUCUUUUCUAGGGUUUGGUCGAUUCAGUGCGGCCGUGUCUUUUUGGUUUUUAGUUCAUUGUCCGGUGCUGGUCGGCGUUCUGGACCAUCGUCGGCGGUUCGAGAGGAAUGGUUUCGGCGC